rnacentral:rRNA from 1 species
CUGGCUCAGGACGAACGCUGGCGGCGUGCUUAACACAUGCAAGUCGAACGGGAGUAUUGAAGAAGCUUGCUUAGAGAUACUUUAGUGGCGGACGGGUGAGUAACGCGUGAGGAGCUGUCCUAUGCAGGGGGACAACAGCUGGAAACGGCUGCUAAUACCCCAUAAGCCGAGAGGUAAAAGGAUCAAUCCGGCAGAGGAGGUACUCGCGUCCUAUCAGCUAGUAGGUGAGGUAACGGCUCACCUAGGCGAAGACGGGUAGCCGGCCUGAGAGGGCGAACGGCCACACUGGAACUGAGAUACGGUCCAGACUCCUACGGGAGGCAGCAGUGGGGAAUAUUGGGCAAUGGGGGAAACCCUGACCCAGCGACGCCGCGUGGGUGAAGAAAUCCUUCGGGAUGUAAAGCCCUGUUGUAUGGGAAGAGCGGAAGACGGUACCAUACGAGGAAGCCCCGGCAAACUACGUGCCAGCCGCCGC